AGCUUUGCGCAGUGGCAGGAUCGUAGCCAAUGAGGUUUAUCCAAGGCACGAUUAUUGCUAAUUAAAAACUUCUCCCAAGAAAUUAGCAACUUUAAAUAAUUCUUCUAUGUCUAGA
rnacentral:snRNA from 1 species